rnacentral:lncRNA from 1 species
CCUAUAUUUUUAUAUCUAUUUAUUUUUGAAGAAAAUGAUAUUAUUUAGAAGAAUAUAGUUUUAUUUAUAUUGGAGGACACAUAAAUUGAUUUUUGAUAAUCGUACUCGCUAGAGUGCUAAGACUCUAUGCCUACAUACCUCCACAUUAGGUGAAGGAUCAGAGCACCGUAGUUCUUCUAAUUUUUUUUUUAGAUUGUGAAAGUUUUCAAUGCAUCGG